rnacentral:snoRNA from 1 species
GAGCAGACAGUUAUCCCUUUCUAGCCUGAUCCUGUGGCUCCAGAGGGAGUCAGUCUGCUAAAUGAAAUACAGGGGAGCUCUGCCUUUGUCCAGCUGUCUGGUGCUGUUGCAGACUCUCCAUACAUCA